AAACGCCCUUGCCCGUACCCUAGACAUAGUCAUUGCUUUGGUUCAACACCAAAGUGAGUUUGCUUUGCUUUGCUUUGUUUUGUUUUGUUUUGUUUUGUUUUUUCAAGACUGGGUCUCUGUGUAGCCUUGACUACCCUGGAACUCAACGCUGUUGACCAGGCUGACCUCGGAACUCAGGGAUCCGCCUACUGGAAUUAAAGGCGCGAGCCACCGCCUCCCGAUUCCUAAUGAGAUUUAUUUGCUUGCUUAUUUUUCAAAGCUCUCAGCUUUACCGAGGCACCACAAUGAAGAACGACCCCAGUAGCACAACCUCCCUUGGGCUCAGCAGUCCCAGCCUUUUCUGACCAUAACCUGGGGUCCAGUACAGGGGGCUUGUUUGAACACGUGACUGCCCGCUUGGCCUUGCACCCUACCAAACCUGGAUUUGCCUCCUGGGUCCUUGUGGGAACCUUAUGAUCAGCUGCAGUCCUGGCAUCACAGUGUCUGAGGGCUGUUGAGGAUGGAACUAUUCCUCAAUCAACCGGAGCACAUCCUCCAUUGCUUCGAAUUUUAAGAACGGGCAAGUAAACAGUUAUCCCUCCUUAAAAUUCCACAUUCCACAUACUGUAGAGAAAAGGCUAACAACUGAUUAGGCAGAGGAGAGGGAGGAGGCAGGAGUAUGUCUUCCAAAACAGGACAAAUGCGGGAUUUCCUUGCAAUUACCACCAGAAAGCAGCCUUGAAGAAGUUAAAGAAUAGGAUGCUGUCGUGAGCAUGUACCUGCUCUUGCGCUGGAGGAAGCUACCUAUUUAAGUAACUUGAACUGGUGGACAAGGAGCUAGAACUUCCUUCGCAUUUAAGGCAAAGGGACUUGAACACCUUUGGACUCUAGAAAGAGAAGGUCAGGUGCUGCCGACUGACCGCCCAAGGAAAAUGAGAGAAGCUUAAGCACCCAGAGACAGGCGGAUGGGCUGAGAAGCAGGACUUUGUCUCAGGCCCCAUCUUCCUUUUCCCAGCUCACAGCAAUGUGAUUCAAGUGAUGCAGUUUACCACUCAGUGUCCGCUUCCUCACUGUGCAAAGUUCCCAGAGCUCAGGGGGCUAGACCUGCCUCCUUCCUCACCAACCCCCAGAAUCUUCUUGCACAAAGUAGUUGCUUAAUAAAACCUCGAUGUGAUUAGUGACGGUGUGAAAUCACAGUAAUUUAAUUGCAUACCUUACAAAUGCCUUUUACCAAAUUACUCUCCCUGGCUGCGUGUCAGCAACACGGUGUGUGGAACUGUGAUCUGCUCUCUACAUGUACUCUCUCAGGAGGUGGAAAUAAAACUGUUUAAUUAGCACUUCUCUAGGUCAAAAAUGAAGCAAAUCUCAUUGGCUUCAAGGAUGGUCUUGAACUCCCAGUUCUCCUGCUUCUGAGAUUAUAGGCAUGUACCAUCGUCGUGAGAACACAUUUGGUUUCUUGUUGUUGGUCCUGGGGAUCAAACCCAGGAGCUUUCACAUGCUAGACAAGCACCCAAGCAUUGAGCUGCACCUCUAAUUUCGUGUGGUCCUGAUAAUGUGGUUCUGAGCCCAGGCAGGCAGCCCUUACUGGAUGGGCGUUCACUGCUCCACAAACGAUAUUUCUGUGAGUACUAGGCAGGUCCCCAUGCAUUUCUAGUCCAAUUUCCAACCCUGGAGGUUAAAGCACAUACCUUUUUCUCGACCCCAUCCAGAAAUGAUGCAUCUGUCAUUCGGUUGGAAUAGAUAUGGAGACCAUGGGACACAGGCAGGGACAGAAUUGAUGAGCUCACAUUCUUUCUUGCCCGGGUGUUUUUUCAUUUCAACCAAAGCUAUGUCAUUCUGGUAGGUGGCUCCGUUAUACUUUUCAUGAACGACAACUCUGCUCACUCCCUGAACUGCCAACUGAGAGUUAGGCUUUAGCCAGUCUAAUAAAGACGUCCAUACUUGGUAGUUGCGAUAUCUACUGGGUCUGUAAGAGAAAGGAAUGGGAAAUGAACUAUAUCAAGAAAAAGAUAUGGAUCUUAAUACUUCACCUUUACAGUCUUUCCUUUAAAGGAUAAAUUUCAGUUUUUUAAUCCUUGGUGAUAUUGUGAUGGUUUGUAUGUGCUCGGCCCAGGGAGUGGCACCGAUUAGAGGCCCUGUUGGAGUAGGCGGGUCGUUGUUGGAGUAGGUGUGUCACUGUGGGUGUGGGCUUUACUUACGACUCUCACCCUAGGUGCCUAGAAGCCAGUCUUCCACUAGCAGCCUUCAGAUGAAGAUGUAGAACUCUCAGCUCCUCCUGCACCAUGCCUGCCUGGCUGCUGCUGUGUUCCUGCCUUGAUGAUAAUGGACUGAACCUCUGAACUUCUCAGACAGUCGCGGUACAGUUCAACGGCCAUGUCCUAGGAGAUAAUGUGAUGUUUGGGUGCUUUUACUUCUACCUAAGCAUUCCAAGAAUGCUGCCAUCCAUGUUGACUUGGGUUGUACUAUAGGUGAAAGACCCCCUUCCGGAAAGGGAAUUGUACAAGUCUAAGGCCCACAACUAUAAAAGUAAAAAGUAAGUUUUUAGAUACACAGACUCAGAAUGAAAACAAGCCUGGGAAAGUCCAGAUGUGUCCAAGCUUUGUGGGACAAGCUGACCCAUCAUUUAGACAAAACAGACCAUAAAAAGAAAACAAAAUGCAGAGACCAGUUUAAAUUAUUGGUAUCGCUUCAUGGCCCACCUGGCAAGAGAAGAUAAGUCCCUGACUUCCCGGACACCCUGACCAGCAUGAACUCUUCUGUCAACUCAUUGGUAUGAUUAUAGCCAAAUUAGGUAACAUACACUUAUGCCUCAUUUAAUCCACCAAUCAAGUAUCUGUAACCAUACACUUGCUUCUAUAAGCCUGCUUCUGCUCUUCAGAAUCCUAUAAAAACCCAUCCCUAGCUAUGUUAGACGCGCCAGUCUUCCGAACUGACUGAGACGCCCACAGAUACCUGUGUAUCCCGAUCAAUAAACCCUCUUGCAGAUUGCAGCCUGUGAACUCGGACUGGUCAUUGGGCUUGAGGAUCUCCCUCCUGAGGGAAGAUUCUCUCUGAGGGUCUUUCAUAGGUUCAGGGAUCAUAUCUAUUCCUUGAAGGUUAACUCUGCUUAUAUGACUUAAUGAGGACAGAUAUAGUAUUCGCCAACUACAUGGACAGGCAUUGAACUGGGCACUGGGGAGCAGAAGUUAGCAAAAGGAGAAAGCACUUAGAAAACAUGCAUCACUGGGUAGGUGACUGCAGUGCUGAAGACAGACAUCCUGUGAGGAGUGAGGAGUGGGCAGGAGGAAGACUUUAAGAACUUAUCGGGAGGGCUUUGAUUAAAAGCAUUUGGGUUUGAGUCCACAGGAAAUAAAGGGUUGAGUUGAAUCUGAGUAAAAUGUAACAUUAACUAGGUAAGAGUCAAGAACGAUCAUGCCAGGCAGGGGAAAGGAUCCAUGAAGGUCCUUUGCAGAGGAAGCAAUUGCUUUUGAGCAUCUGAAGAAGCCCACAGUGGGUGCUUUCACUGGCAGGAAGUAAUGUGAGACUAGUGAGAGACAGGAAGGUCAGUCAUAAAGGCCUUAUGUGAUUUCUCUGUGUGGAUAGUUUUGUUUCGAUGCUUAUCUGAGGAGGACUGCAAGCUCUUGAAUUGUUUGUGCUACACAGUGGAGACCAGACUGGUCGGACCGUGGGUGGCAGGGUAGGCAACUGGAGGCAGUCAUGCAAUGCAGAUGACAAGGGCGGGGUAAUAGGAAAGGAGAUGAAAUUUGAAAAGCGAAUGGUGAAAAAAUUAAACAUUAUGAAUGCCUUGCUGUAGGGAGGCUCAGAGAGGGAAGUAAUGAUGAUUCUCAGAUUUCUACCUGUGUCAACCACAUAAAUGGUGUUUGCUAAGACGGGAAGAACUGGAACAGAACCACAUUUAAGAGAACUGGCCUAUAAGGUAGGUCUUAGACAUUUAGAACUGAGAUUCAUUCUCUCUCUCUCUCUCUCUCUCUCUCUCUCUCUCUCUCUCUCUCUGUGUGUGUGUGUGUGUGUGUGUGUGUGUGUGUGUAUGUGUGUGCUCAUGUUCAUUUGUGUUCAUGUCUGUGCGUGGGGUAAAUAUGUUUGCUGAUGCACACGCUUAUGUGUGUGCGUGCAUGUAAAGACCAGAGAUAAAUCUUGGAUUUUGUUCCUUAGGCACUGCCCACCUUGUGUGGAAGGAUCUUUCAUUGGUCUAGAACUCACCAAGUAGGCCAUCUGGCUGUCUGGCAAGCCCCAAGGAGCUCCCUCCCCAGUGCUUUAUAAGAGUUGUCUUGGUCAUGGUGUCUGUUCACAGCAGUAAAACCCUAACUAAGACCCGGUCAAAGGGUCUUAGUUACACUGUAUGAUUGGUCUUCAGCAGAUGUGUUUCCUCUGACUCUUCUGCAUUCAAAGUCUGUCAGAAACAGCCUGCUGUACUUCAGGGAUCUUCCCAAUAGCAACACGACUGUACCCCUACCUGAUACAAUGCCUUGCCUUCAAAGUGGCUUUGAGUUGGGCACAUGCCAAUAAUUUAUCCAGACACAAAGAGUGAGCCAGCCAAUGAUGGAUCAGUAUGUCAUAUGAUUAGCAUUGAGCAUUUACCGCCUAGAAUGUACAUUAAAUGGAAAGACCAGCGGGAAUGUCAGGUUAGUAUUAUUCCUUCAUAAAUGCUCAGUCAUAAACUCUUCCAGACAGAUUGUCCUAGCACAAUGCAAAUGGGACAAAUAGAAUGAGGCAGUAUUUAAACUCUGCCCUCAACAGAGCUUAACAACCUGGUCUAUCUAUGGAGAACACAGUGGGUUCUGAGGGACCUGAUCCAGUUCAUGAAUACUGGAAGCUAUUUGACAGUAGAGUAGAGCUUGGUUUCUCAUACAAGCUUUCGUCUACCACACUGUCUCUAUUAUUUAUUCCUCACGUUUCAAGAAAUGUAAGACACACAAAGGCAUUCUCACCUGACACAGUGUGCAGCUGUCAGAAUCCAACAGCCACCGAUAUAAAUGCCCCCACAGGUUAUUCUAUCUCCAUCCUUAAUCGCCACCUGCCAUGGGUAAUCUCCCUGUAAGAGACAUUUGAGUGAUCACUGCUCUACUACUGGAUGGUGGCAGCAACAGGCCACCCUGGGACAUUUCCACAUAAAGUCAUGGUCCCCUGAGAGCACACCAUCCCAUCACUGUUCUCUGAUGCAGACUGGCCCUUGGAGGUCAUGUGAUUUUCAUGCAGGCUUACCAUCUCGGCUGGCUUCCCUCCGACCACUCUUUUCCUGCGAAUGUGAGUAUUUCUUUUGACUCCACAGGAUAGUUUAGGUAAUAAGGACUUUAUCCGUUUUCUUUCUUCAAGAAAGGAAGAGAUCGUAUCAUUAUUUUCUUGGAACCAUUAGCUUGUGGGUAGACACUUCUUGGUUCUAUCUAUAAUACAUCUGUCUGUCCGUUCAUCUGUCCAUUCAUCUCUCCAUCUAUCUUGGUGUGUGUGUGUGUGUGUGUGUGUGUGUGUGUGUGUGUGUGUGUGUGUGCGUGUUACAGGUGUACACAUAUAUGUCUAUUUAAGACCAGAGGUCAAUCAUCAGACCUUCCUCAGUCCCUUUCCAUCACACUUUUUGAGAUAGUCUCUCACUAAACAUGGGACUCACUAACUGGCUAGGUUGGCUGGCAGUGAGCUCCAGUGAUCUGUUCCCCUCCUUUACCUCAGCCCCGGCAUUAUAGACACCACCACCACCGGGCUUUUUACAUGGGUGCUGGGAUCUGAACUCAGGUCCUCCAGCUUGUAAAUGAUUAUACAUGUCACACAUGCAUACAUGUUAUAUAGUAUGUGCCAGAGCAGGCCACAUUCAUCAGCAAGUAGUUUCAGAGAUUAAACGAUACCGUUUACUUAUUGGGAAAUUCUGGCUCAGCACUAAAAUUGACUUGAUUUUCGAAAGUUCUGACUAAAAGUGGACUUGGGUAGGAAGCUGGCCGAAAGGUUAAACAUUUACCAACCUCUAGUAGAUGCCACAUGGCAGGCAUUACUACAGUGAGAACUCAGGGUGGGGUAUGUGGCACAUUUCGAACACAUCAGAAUAAUUAUUACUAUAAGUAAUAAUGUGUCAGCAUAUAACAUAUAUAUUAAUCCUGAGAGGUCAUGUACCAGAGACCCGGGAUGAUUGGAUCAGCAGGCCUCUAGAUGAGUGUGUGUGUGUGUGUGUGUGUAUGUGUGUGUGUGUGUGUGUGGUGUAUUUGUCAAUAAGAAACCAGCCAUGUAGAGUAAGGCUCAAAGCCUGAAGCUCAAGGGAAUGUACAAGACAAGAGGAUGGGGGUGUAGGAUGCUUUCUUUAUUCUCUCUUUAGAUUUGCCUUGUCUGGAAAAGGUCAAGAGAUCCAGAAUCUUCUUGCACAAAGUAUAUUAUCAAAGGUGGUAAAAUUAAAUAGUCAAUAAAAGCAGUUUAGCCAAGAUCAAAAGCCAGCCUUGCUUCCUGUAAUAAAUUCCUACCUUCUCAUAGACUCACGUCUAACUCAGUUUGGCUCUUGGUGCACAACUGCCCAGGAUACAGAGCUCCGGGGCUCCAUAUUACCAUGAUUUAUAACUGACAAAGGACAGGUCCAUUCGACCAAGUACAUUCCUUUCCAUUUCAGAAGAUGCUUGAAAUCUACUUAUCGUUGACAAACUAAACUGCCUUGUCUGGUGGGAAAAGCUUCAUGUGGAACUAUGGAAAUGAGUCACUUCACAAUCGGUCAUUUUAAUUAACCUGGUUUUAAAAUCGACCCUCAAGAAUAAUAGGGCCUUGCUUUUUUUUUUUUUUUUUUUUCCCUUCGGAGCUGGGGACCGAACCCAGGGCCUUGGGCUUGCUAGGCAAGCGCUCUACCACUGAGCUAAAUCCCCAACC